AUGAGUUAUAUCCUCGUAAAAGUGUAGUUCUCUGGAUUCAGGCAUUUACUAUCCACAGCAUUAACAUGCAUGGAUGAUGCUUGAUGGGGUAUGGUCUGUGAUAGAAAUGACAACUUGUGCAAUUUAUUGGGGAAAGAACUUUGUUUGUUAAUUUCAUGUGGAACUUCAAGAUCUCUUUAAUCUAGUGAUGUGAUGCCAGUGAUCUACAAUGCACUCUCAGUUAAAUUUUUGCUUCUUUUAU
rnacentral:misc_RNA from 1 species